GGAUGGGAUGGGGAUGGGAUCGACAUGGGGAUGGGGAUGGGAUGGGAUGAUGGGAUGGGAUGGAUGGGAUGGGAUGGGAUGGAUAAAACAGAUGGGAUGAGAUGAAGUGGAAUCAAUGGGAUGGAUGGGAAUGGGAUGUGCUGAGCAGACAGGCCGGGAGAGCCCAUUCCCUGUUCCCAUUCCCUGUUCCCAUUCCCUGUUCCCAUUCCCUGUUCCCAUCCCGGUACCUUUGUGCUCCUGAGGCUCCAGCUCCCUAUGGGGGCUGCCCCCCCCUGCAGACAGGCAGGGCAGGUUCUCAUAGCAACCCCCCCCGGCGAGCAGGGACCCUGUGGGGAGGUGGCAUGAGGAACAUGGAGUAUGGGAUAUGGGAUAUGGGAUAUGGGGUAUGGGGUAUGGGAUAUGGGAUAUGGGAUAUAAGAUAUGGGAUAUAUGGGGAUAUGUGCACCCUGGGAGGGCCCAUCCUGGGGACACUGGUGUCUGGUGCCCCUCCAACCCAUCACUCCUGCACAAGCCACCCCCAGGGACUCUACUUGCUUCAUCCCAUAUCCCAUACCCCAUAUCCCAUAUCCCAUACCCCAUAUUCCCUACCCCAUACUCCAUACCCCAUACCCCAUAUCCCAUACCCCAUAUCCCAAAUCCCAUAUCCCAUACCCCAUAUCCCAUUCCCCAUAUCCCAUACCCCAUACCCCAUAUCCCAUAGUCCAUACUCCAUAUCCCAUACUCCAUAUCCCAUAUCCCAUACACCUGUAUCCCUGUAUCCCAUAUCCCUGUUUCUCCCAAUAUCCCAUAUCCCUGUAUCCCUGUAUCCCUGUGUCCCUGUCUCCCUGUCUAUCCCUAUCUCUCCCUGUAUCCCAUACCCCUCUAUCCCAUACCCCUGUAUCCCAUACCCCUGUAUCCCAUUAUCUCCCUGUGUCCCAUACCCCAUAUCCCUGUAUCCCAUACCCCUGUAUCCCAUACACCUGUAUCCCAUUGUCUCCCUGUAUCCCCUAUCCCAGUGUCUCCAGUGUGCCCCUACCCCCGGCAGUGCCUCCGGCUCCAUGUCUCUGGGCCUCAGCUGUUCCCGCAGGAUUUAUGUGUGUGCAGGAGCAGCAGAUCCAGUUCCACCUGCUGCUGACUCAGGGACAGGGAGGGGGAGGCACCGGAUACGGGAUGGGGAUACAGAGAUAUGAGGGCAUCAGGGAUACAGGGAUAGGGGAUAUAGAGAUAUGGGGAUAGGGAUACAGGGAUACAGGGAUAGGGGAUACGGGAUACAGGGAUAGGGAUAUGGGGAUAGGGGGAUACAGAG
rnacentral:lncRNA from 14 species